UACGUAGGGUGCAAGCGUUAAUCGGAAUUACUGGGCGUAAAGCGUGCGCAGGCGGUUGUGCAAGACAGAUGUGAAAUCCCCGGGCUCAACCUGGGAACUGCAUUUGUGACUGCACGGCUGGAGUGCGGCAGAGGGGGAUGGAAUUCCGCGUGUAGCAGUGAAAUGCGUAGAUAUGCGGAGGAACACCGAUGGCGAAGGCAAUCCCCUGGGCCUGCACUGACGCUCAUGCACGAAAGCGUGGGGAGCAGACAGG
rnacentral:rRNA from 1 species